AUUGAACGCUGGCGGCAGGCUUAACACAUGCAAGUCGAACGAGUGGCGGACGGGUGAGUAAUGCUUGGGAAUCUAGCUUAUGGAGGGGGAUAACUACGGGAAACUGUAGCUAAUACCGCGUACCAUAGGAUGAGCCCAAGUGGGAUUAGGUCGUUGGUGGGGGAAAGGCUCACCAAGCCGAAGAUCCCUAGCUGGGCUGAGAGGAUGACCAGGCACACUGGGACUGAGCAACGGGCCCGACUCCUACGUGAGGGAGGAGGGGGGAAUAUUUCGCAAUGGGGGGAACCUGACGGCGCCAUGCCGCGGGGAUGAAGAAGGCCUUCGGGUUGUAAAGUUCUUUCGGUAGCGAGGCGUUAACUACAGAAGAAGCACCGGCUAACUCCGUGCCAGCAGCCGCGGUAAUUC
rnacentral:rRNA from 1 species